UGGGGAAUAUUGGACAAUGCGCGCAAGCCUGAUCCAGCCAUGCCGCGUGAGUGAUGAAGGUCCUAGGGUUGUAAAGCUCUUUCACCGGUGAAGAUAAUGACGGUAACCGGAGAAGAAGCCCCGGCUAACUUCGUGCCAGCAGCCGCGGUAAUACGAAGGGGGCUAGCGUUGUUCGGAUUUACUGGGCGUAAAGCGCACGUAGGCGGACUUUUAAGUCAGGGGUGAAAUCCCGGGGCUCAACCCCGGAACUGCCUUUGAUACUGGAAGUCUUGAGUAUGGUAGAGGUGAGUGGAAUUCCGAGUGUAGAGGUGAAAUUCGUAGAUAUUCGGAGGAACACCAGUGGCGAAGGCGGCUCACUGGACCAUUACUGACGCUGAGGUGCGAAAGCGUGGGGAGCAAACAGG
rnacentral:rRNA from 1 species